GCUGCCUGGAUGAGGACUUAGGCAGGCCUCUGAUCUCUGAAUCCAGCUUAGCCUUAGACACUCGGGCCCUAGUACCUAAAAGAGGCCUGUUUGUCCUGGGUGCUGUCCUUUCCCACAGGCUCCUGCUUGAUGUCUAAGUCUCCUGUGCACAAUAGGCCUGGCGUGUUCUGACAGCCCAUAUCUACAGAUGUAGACCAGAGGCUUGGGAAAAAGGAGCAGGAAAGUGUCCUGGAUUUCUGGAGGUCUGCUUUAAGGCUCGUCAGUUCUGCAUGAAAGGAAAAGCCGAGGAGGAGACUGUCUCAAAUCUCUGGAGGACCCCUGAAGUCUGCUGUGGGGCUUAACAUCACUUGAACACAGACAGGAGGAAGAAAUUGCAGCGCAUCAGUGAAGAUCCACCUGCAGUGGCAGGUCCUGUGGUGUUGGAGUUGCUGCUAAAUAACCACUCUCAUCUGGUCUGCACCCACCCAGGAACCAUCCAUCCUUCCCCAGCCUGGUUGUGCCUCUUCUGCACUUUAUCUGUAUUAUUGACUGAGACUGUGCUUGGGUAGAACCAUCCCUGAUUCCUGGAGGCACAAAGUGAUUUUUCCACCUGAUUCUAGUACAUGAAGGUUAAUAGAUACAAGACAAACUAGCAUUUUGGCCUCCUUAUACAAAC
rnacentral:lncRNA from 1 species